rnacentral:rRNA from 1 species
UAAGGGCUGCAGUAUUUUGACUGUACUAAGGUAGCAUAAUAAAUAGUCUUUUAAUUGGGGACUUGUAUGAAUGAUUGGAUAAAAUAUAGACUGUCUUAAGUUAAUAUAAAAAAUUUAAUUUUUUUUUAAAAAAGAAAAAAUUUAUUUAAAAGACGAGAAGACCCUAUAGAGUUUUAUAAUUUUUUAUUUAUUGAAAAUUAUAAAUUUUUUUAUUUAUGAAUAAAUUAAUUUAUUUUAUUGGGGUGAUAGUAAAAUUUAAUUAACUUUUAUUUUAAAAAAACAUAAAUUUAUGAGUAUUAUAUCUUUUUUUGAUAAAAGAUUAAAUUACCUUAGGGAUAACAGCGUAAUUUUUUUUUUUAGUUCAUAUAAAAAAAAUAGUUUGCGACCUCGAUUUUGGAUUAAAAUAAAAUUUAAAUGUAAAGAUUUAAUAUUUUUAAUCUGUUCGAUUAUUAAAAUUUUACAUGAUCU